ACCGGCUGGCGGCGGGCGGGGCAGCCGCGAACCCGGUCAGGUCGGAAACGAAGCAGCCGUAGCGGAAUGCGCUCCGGGUCGUCGCCAGUCCUUCAG
rnacentral:SRP_RNA from 1 species